GACGAACGCUGGCGGCGUGCCUAAUACAUGCAAGUAGAACGCUGAAGAGAGGAGCUUGCUUUUCUUGGAUGAGUUGCGAACGGGUGAGUAACGCGUAGGUAACCUGCCUUGUAGCGGGGGAUAACUAUUGGAAACGAUAGCUAAUACCGCAUAACAAUGGAUGACCCAUGUCAUUUAUUUGAAAGGGGCAAAUGCUCCACUACAAGAUGGACCUGCGUUGUAUUAGCUAGUAGGUGAGGUAACGGCUCACCUAGGCGACGAUACAUAGCCGACCUGAGAGGGUGAUCGGCCACACUGGGACUGAGACACGGCCCAGACUCCUACGGGAGGCAGCAGUAGGGAAUCUUCGGCAAUGGGGGCAACCCUGACCGAGCAACGCCGCGUGAGUGAAGAAGGUUUUCGGAUCGUAAAGCUCUGUUGUAAGUCAAGAACGAGUGUGAGAGUGGAAAGUUCACACUGUGACGGUAGCUUACCAGAAAGGGACGGCUAACUACGUGCCAGCAGCCGCGGUAAUACGUAGGUCCCGAGCGUUGUCCGGAUUUAUUGGGCGUAAAGCGAGCGCAGGCGGUUUGAUAAGUCUGAAGUUAAAGGCUGUGGCUCAACCAUAGUUCGCUUUGGAAACUGUCAAACUUGAGUGCAGAAGGGGAGAGUGGAAUUCCAUGUGUAGCGGUGAAAUGCGUAGAUAUAUGGAGGAACACCGGUGGCGAAAGCGGCUCUCUGGUCUGUAACUGACGCUGAGGCUCGAAAGCGUGGGGAGCGAACAGGAUUAGAUACCCUGGUAGUCCACGCCGUAAACGAUGAGUGCUAGGUGUUGGAUCCUUUCCGGGAUUCAGUGCCGCAGCUAACGCAUUAAGCACUCCGCCUGGGGAGUACGACCGCAAGGUUGAAACUCAAAGGAAUUGACGGGGGCCCGCACAAGCGGUGGAGCAUGUGGUUUAAUUCGAAGCAACGCGAAGAACCUUACCAGGUCUUGACAUCCCGAUGCUAUUUCUAGAGAUAGAAAGUUACUUCGGUACAUCGGUGACAGGUGGUGCAUGGUUGUCGUCAGCUCGUGUCGUGAGAUGUUGGGUUAAGUCCCGCAACGAGCGCAACCCCUAUUGUUAGUUGCCAUCAUUCAGUUGGGCACUCUAGCGAGACUGCCGGUAAUAAACCGGAGGAAGGUGGGGAUGACGUCAAAUCAUCAUGCCCCUUAUGACCUGGGCUACACACGUGCUACAAUGGUUGGUACAACGAGUUGCGAGUCGGUGACGGCAAGCUAAUCUCUUAAAGCCAAUCUCAGUUCGGAUUGUAGGCUGCAACUCGCCUACAUGAAGUCGGAAUCGCUAGUAAUCGCGGAUCAGCACGCCGCGGUGAAUACGUUCCCGGGCCU
rnacentral:rRNA from 1 species